rnacentral:rRNA from 1 species
UACGGAGGAUGCGAGCGUUAUCCGGAUUUAUUGGGUUUAAAGGGUGCGUAGGCGGAUUGAUAAGUCAGUGGUGAAAUUCUACAGCUUAACUGUAGACUUGCCGUUGAUACUGUUAGUCUUGAGUGUGGUCAAGGAAGGCGGAAUGUGUAAUGUAGCGGUGAAAUGCUUAGAUAUUACACAGAACACCGAUUGCGAAGGCAGCUUGCUGGGUCAUUACUGACGCUGAUGCACGAAAGCGUGGGGAUCAAACAGGA